AACACUGCAGGGGGAUAACACAGAGUAAUGUCAGGAUUAACACAGUCAUGACAUGUCUGUUGUACAUUUCAUACCAUAUACCUGAAAGAGAGAUUCUACCACAUACCUGAGAGGGAUGGCUGAAGCAUGAUCUGCAAAACUAGAAUAAAAGCCCAGUCCAUUGACACCUAAGGAAGAGACAAAAAGGAGUUGCACUGAUGUUAAGAUGUUUUUUUGUUUGUGUUACAGUGAAGCAUGAGUCAUUUUACUGGAGAAGGCCAGAUGUGAAUUCCACAGCCACAGCUAGCACGAUCUAGCUUACUUCAACACUCUGCAGAAAAAAACACAUGACUCUGAGACAAGAGAACCACACAUCAUCACAUCAAAACAUCACAUCCAUCAUUUUAGGCGGAAUCUUCGCACCCUCCUCCACCCCGGUCACCUCCAGCCAUCGUAUCCAGAGUCCAGGACAAGCUCUCAAAGAUUCAUUCCUCUACUCAUCCAAAUCAUCGGCACUUCUCCAUCUUCCUCUCAUCUCAUCUUCACCACCUCUACCACCACCAGCGUCUAGACCCCAGGGGGGUUCCCUAUUCGACUAUGGAUUUAUCACUCUCCUUAAAUCACACCCUCUCUACGGGGUCUAAUUGCCAAAGACUUUCCACAUUCUUAUUCAUUCCUUCACAUGUUAAUAAAUAUUCUUUUACCAUAAAAA